rnacentral:rRNA from 1 species
UACAGAGGGUGCAAGCGUUGUUCGGAAUUAUUGGGCGUAAAGCGCGUGUAGGCGGCUUGGCAAGUCGGGUGUGAAAUCCCUCAGCUUAACUGAGGAAGUGCGCCCGAAACUGCUGAGCUUGAUACCGGAGAGGAUGGCGGAAUUCCCGAAGUAGAGGUGAAAUUCGUAGAUAUGGGGAGGAACACCGGUGGCGAAGGCGGCCAUCUGGACGGAUACUGACGCUGAGACGCGAAAGCGUGGGGAGCAAACAGG